GAUCCGCACACAUUGGAAUUUCGCUAACUCCUCCGAAGGCUUUCGUUCCAAAGGCACCACAUUUGCUCAGGUCAAUCUACACCCCAUGGCCAUUCAAAGUUGUACAACUCAUGACGCUGCACCCCACAGUUUACGUUCUAGGGGGCGCCAAAGAGGACCCAAAUAUCCACAUUUUUAAAAGUCUUAUAACUUUUUAUUUUUGUCCUCACUGGCCUCCAAGUUUUCUAGGAUGAUGCAAUGUCCAGCCAUCAACACAUUUGUGAAGGAAUUUUUUCUCCCCAAAAGAGCGCCCCCCAUGGCAGGAGAAAAAGUCAAGUUUUUCCUGCCCAUCGCUCAAUGGCUCAAACGCAUCGCUCUCUCUGCAAAACCGAAAGGAGGAGCAACUUGCCAUUUGGAUAUAUACUAGCUGUGUUUGUGCCCUCACUCAUGGUCCAGACUUUUUUCAAAUAGGACAUGUAGUUUGUCUGCAGCGAGCGUUUUGGUAGAAACUGCGCCUCCCAUUCGUUAUAAUGGGAAAUGACCACAGACAAGUGCGCACACCAUCUUUGGACCUUGAGUGUGACGCGAUCGGGAGGGGGAGGCGGUCGCGCUGGGGGCGGCGCGACGCGGCUCGGGCCCGACAGUGCCCCACCGGGGCCCUAGUUAGGGCCCGAGCGUAGCUGCUAAGCAGCUGCGAGAGCCCUAUUAUUCCUGAUGGAUUCUUCUUUCUUCUUCUUCUUCUUAUUAUUUUUCUGCCCCUUUGAACUGGAAAAUGGCCCACUUCCCACUGGUGAAAAGUCAUGAAAUUUGGCAGGACGACCGGGCCUGGUGAAAAAUUCGAUAUUCUGAAGUCGCCCAAACAAUCAAAUGCAAAAUGGCUCCAUAGCGCCCCCUAAGGUGAAAAAUUCACAUGAUUGAGUGUCACGCCUGUACGCUUUGUCAAAAUGACACAAAAUUUGACACACACGUGUAUCUCAAUAAGAUCUACAAAAAAGUCAGUGCGGGCGUAUCUGUCAAAUGUACGGUUAAAGGGCUAUUUCGCAUUUUUUGCCGAUCCGCACACAUUGGAAUUUCGCUAACUCCUCCGAAGGCUUUCGUUCCACCGGCACCAAAUUUGCUCAGGCCAAUCUACACCCCAUGGCCAUUAAAAGUUGUACAAAUCGUGACGCUGCAUCCCACGGUUUACGUUCUAGGGGGCGCCAAAGAUAACCCAGAAAUCCACAUUCUUAAAAGUCGUAUAACUUUUUAUUUUUGUCCUCACUGGCCUCCAAGUUUUCUAGGAUGAUGCAAUGUCCAGCCAUCAACACAUUUUUGAAGGAAUUUUUACUCCCCAAAAGAGCGCCCCCCCAUGGCAGGAGAAAAAAGUCCAUUUUUUCUUGUCUCCUAAGGCGAAAAUUCACACUAUUGACUGUCACGCCUUUACGCUUUGUCAUAUUGACACAAAAAUUGACACACACAUGUAUCUCAAUAAGAUCUACAAAAAAGUCAGUGCGGGCGUAUCUGUCAAAUGUACGGUGAAAGGGCUAUUUCGCAUUUUUUGCCGAUCCGCACACAUUGGAAUUUCGCUAACUCCUCCGAAGGCUUUCGUUCCAAAGGCACCACAUUUGCUGAGGCCAAUCUACACCCCAUGGCCAUUAAAAGUUGUACAAAUCAUGACGCUGCACCCCACGGUUUACGUUCUAGGGGGCGCCAAAGAUAACCCAAAAAUCCACAGUCUUAAAAGUCUUAUAACUUUUUAUUUUUGUCCUCACUGGCCUCCAAGUUCUCUAGGAUGAUGCAAUGUCCAGCCAUCAACACAUUUGUGAAGGAAUUUUUACUCGCCAAAAGAGCGCCCCCCCAUGGCAGGAGAAAAAAGUCCAUUUUUUCUUGUCUCCUAAGGCGAAAAUACACAUUGUUGACUGUCACGCCUUUACGCUUUGUCAAAAUGACACAAAAUUUGACACACACAUGUAUCUCAAUAAGAUCUACAAAAAAGUCAGUGCGGGCGUAUCUGUCAAAUGUACGGUUAAAGGGUUAUUUCGCAUUUUUUGCCGAUCCGCACACAUUGGAAUUUCGCUAACUCCUCCUAAAUCUUUUGUCCCAUCGGCUUCAAAUUUGCUCAGGUCAAUCUACACCCCAUGGCCAUUCAAAGUUGUACAAAUCAUGACGCUGCACCCCACAGUUUACGUUCUAGGGGGCGCCAAAGAGGACCCAAAUAUCCACAUUUUUAAAAGUCUUAUAACUUUUUAUUUUUGUC